GGAGAGUGGGACCACUGUGCAAAGUCUUCUCCACAACAUCCCAAAGAUUCUCAGUGGGGCUGAGGUCUGGACUCUGUGGAGGACAAUCCAUGUGUGAAAAUGAUGUCUCAUGCUCCCUGAACCACUCAUUUACAAUGUGAGCCCCAUGAAUCCUGGCAUCGUCAUCUUGGAACAUGUCCAUGAAAUCAGAGAAGAAAAACUCCAUUGAUGGAAAGACCUGGUCAUUCAGUAUAUUCAGGUAGUCAGCUGACCUCAUCCUUUGGGAACAUAACUUUGCUGAACCUGACCAACCCCAGAUCAUAACCCAAACCCCCACAGGCUGGUAGGCACUAGCUAUGAUGAGUGCAUCACUUCAUCUGCCUCUCUUCUUACCCUGAUGGCCCAUCACUUUGGAACAGGGUGAAUCUGCACUCAUGAGACCACGUUUGCUCCUCGAAGAUGAUGGUUCACCACUAUCCUACCAGGUUUUAAUAAUGCGUUGGACAGUUCUUAACCUGAUUUUAGUAGUUUUAAAAAUCUCCUUAGUUGUUUUCUUUGUUGAUGCAGGCCAAUAAUUUGACCCUUCUGAGACACAUUAACAUCCUUUCCAUGACCACAGGAUAUGUCUUCCAGCAUGGUUGUUUAAGAAAUGAGAAGCUCCUCACUGCAUCUGCUGGGGUUUAAAUAAGUUGUUGCAACUGAAACGUAUUAAUCACUGCAGUAAUUAUCCAAUGGAAGGAUCUUACCCAUUUGCCUAGUUAAAUCCAGGUUGUUUUUUUUGGCCAGGCAGUGUAUUUAUGAGAGCUGAUCUGAUCCACACAGGGCCCAGUAGGUGGCAGCACGUGUUCACAGUGUGGCAUUUAUUAAUCACAGCAAAAGUAAUGAAACAUAAAUGAAAAGGUAGGAUAUCAGUAAAAAAAAAAAAAAAAAAAAAAAAGCAGAACAGUAAUUGCAAUCUGAUGCAUAGUUAAUUAUGUCUCAAAUGUUAAGCUCAGAUAGAAGAACAGCAGUAAAGCAUUAGUAAAAUAAGCCGCUUGUAAUGUGAGAAGUUAAUUUUACAGUGAUAUUUGCAUUUUUCUCGGCAGUCCACAGCUGCUAUCUGUCUUCUCCCGCACUAAUCUGACAGAGAGAUGAUGAGCAGCUCCGACCGGCGGACGGAUAAAGAGUUAACCGUGUCCGGGCUCCGCGGCCUCUGAUUGGCCGGCAGCAGCAGCGCUGGGACGGACAACAAGUCUCCGCUGAGUGCGCACUGGAAAAGUCACUUGGUGGUCGAGGCGGGCAACGCAGACCGGACCGCACGGAGUUUUUUUUUUUUUAAAUUGAGAAUUAACAUAUUGGAACUUGUGUUGUAAUUUAUGGAGUUUGUAAUUUGCAGAAGUGCAGCCGUGAAUCCGUUAUUUUAUCCCGGAGACAGACGGUCCAGCUAGAGGUCGCUGGAAAGUCGGCCGCUGUCACUUUUGAUUCAUGGACUCAACACGGACUUUAGCUAGAAGUGUUUCUGUCAAGAGGCUGACACAAGGUUGACUCAAUUCACUCAAUAUCAAGAUUUAGGGAAUAUGAAUUUGUGUCUGGACAGUAUGGGCAUCCUGAAGAUUGUGCUGUUCAUCUUCGAGGCAGUUUUACUGACUGACUGCGUACGAGGACCUCCACGGGUGUCUGAGAAAGUUGCUCACAGACAGACCGCCCGCUUGGGCAGCGCCAUCAAGCUGCCGUGUCCUGUGGAAGGAGACCCUCCACCGCUCAUAAUGUGGACCAAGGAUGGACGCAACAUCCACAGCGGCUGGAUUCGCUUCCGUAUCCUCCGGAUGGGCCUGAAGAUCAAAGAGGUGGAGGCAGACGACACGGGGACCUACAUCUGUAAAGCGACUAACGGCUUUGGUAGUGUCAACAUCAACUACACCCUCAUCGUCAUCGAUGACUCAGGUUCUGAUAAAACUGGACCCGGACCAGCUGAUGGAACACAGUCUGAGACGGGCAGUGAAAAGCUCGUGCGUCCCCGCUUCACCCAACCUGCGAAGAUGAGGAAAAGAGUGAUCGCUCGUCCAGUGGGCAGCUCAGUGCGGCUCAAAUGCACAGCCAGUGGAAACCCUCGGCCGGACAUCGUGUGGCUGAAGGACGACAGGCUGCUGACGGAGCAGGAGGUCGGUGAAGGCCGUGAGAAGAAGUGGACGCUCAGUCUGAGGAACCUGACGCCAGAACACAGUGGCAGAUACACCUGCAGGGUCUCCAAUCGUGCAGGGGAAAUAAACGCCACGUACAAAGUUGAGGUCAUACAGAGGACGAACUCCAAACCUAUUCUGACGGGCACUCACCCGGUCAACACGACGGUGGACUACGGAGGCACCACGUCCUUCCAAUGCAAAGUGAGGAGUGACGUCAAGCCAGUCAUUCAGUGGCUCAAACGCGUGGAGACGAACGAGGAGAGCCGCUACAAUUCCACCAUCGAGGUGGGGGACCACAGAUUUGUGGUGCUACCCACGGGGGAGGUGUGGUCGAGGCCCGACGGCUCCUUCCUCAACAAGCUGCUCAUUACCCGCGCCAAGGAGGAGGACGCUGGCAUGUACAUCUGCUUAGGCGCCAACACCAUGGGCUACAGCUUCCGCAGUGCCUUCCUCACUGUGCUGCCAGACACAAAGCCUCCCAUCACGCCCAUGUUCUCGCCAGCCUCCAGCUCCCUCCCGUGGCCCGUCAUCAUCGGCAUCCCCGCUGGAAUAGUCUUCAUCUUCGGCACGGUGCUGCUGUGGUUCUGCCAGAGCAGAAAACGCUGUCCUCCUCCCAGCGCUCCGGCCGCACAGGUGCUACAGAGCUCCCACCGGCCGCCGUAUCGAGAGCGGGACAGGGGCUGCGUGGCUCCGUCGUCCAGCUCCUCAAACCCAGACAAAGACUGCCUGAGCUCCAUGAACUAUGAGGAGUACUUGGCCCAGCAGCAGCUCCUCCUCAGCCAGGGAGGUCCCACAAUCCCCCCUAAAAUCUACCCCAAAAUCUACACUGACAUUCACACACACACUCACUCCCAUGUGGACGGGAAAGUACACCAGCAUCAACACAUUCAUUUUCAGUGUUAGCCUCAGUGCCAAGUAUUCCCCACUAACUGCUCCGGUAUCUCAGACGGACGCUGAGCCGUGGACUUGAACGGCUGCUCCUGAGUGACAUUCGGACUCUUCUCACAGCUGGACGUCGUCGGGAAAAUCGUGCAUGUGUGGGGGUAAAAAAAAGCAACAAAAAACAGUGGCCAGUGAUACACAUUUUGUGUUAAAAACUUCCAUAUUUGGUGCUUCUCGUUUUUAAAAUGUCAGAUUCUCACACCACUAAAAUCCAUUAAUCCUUGUUGUGCACUUAAUACAAAAAAGGACAAGGACAUUUGUGCAGAGUGUGAGUUUAAUUGCAGCUAUUCAGGCUGGCUGAAAGGUCCUUCCUCAGCAGAUGAAUUUUUUUGCAUUUUCCUAAGUGGAAGUUUUACCUUUCACAGCUGUCGGUGUGCUCUGGAUAUUCUGCCUGGUAAUGAAGGUGAAAAUGGUACUCGAGAUAUACCAAAGGGCUGGUUUUCUGCUCCUACUCAGGUCGUCCUUUUGUUUUUUGAAGAUGCAUUAUGCUGGGAAUGCUGACCACUAUCCCUGAUGUUACCUUCCUCCAUCCCUCCCUUCUGUUAAAAAUGAUAUGGAAUAGACUGGUCAGCUUUCCUCCUUUGAGCGGGUUGAAGUGUCUGCUGAGGGUGACACAGAGGGCAGCCAGCAGAGGGACACAAGUUGCUGCGAUGAAUGACUGAAUAGAUACAGACACAAGAGCAGUCUCACAGUCGCUUUUUAGAUGAGUGAUGGCCCCUGCAAGACUACACCGAACGACCAGCAUCUUUUCCCAUUUAAGUGAAUCUACCCCCCCACCCCCCGGUCCGCACCACCACCUCAUUCAGCUCCGAUCUAGGUAGGAUUUCCUUUCACCAUUUAGGAAGUGCAUUGUCCUGCUGUGGGAGUGAUGUGACGGGACCCUGUGAUUGCUCAGGAAAGAAGGGGAGCAUUGUAUCAGGUGAGCUCUUGUUUUGUUGUAAGCAUUGCAGGAUGGAGAUGAGCUUUGGCUCCAGACAGAUGACGGGUGAGAACAUUGAACAGGCUGUCUGGGGUUAAAGUAGACUGAAACUUUAGGGCUCGCACAGCCAUGUUACUUCCAUUUCCAUAAAUAAUGCUUUGAAUGCAAAAUCCAGAUGUCAAGAUUCGAAUACUACGAAGGCAAACACUGCCCUCUAGUGGGGGAAUGGUAUUAGUCUAAAAACGAUCAUGAGAUGAUUGAACUUGUAAAUCAUCUUUAUUAACUUUUUACAGUAUUAAAGGAACAUUGAUAAAGACAAACAAUACACUACACAAGAAAAUGAUCUGGACGUCAACAAUAAAGAAAAGCAGAGGUAAUUAAAACCUACAGUAUUUACAAAUGAGCUCAGCCCUUCUGGACUUUGGAUAUGAGUUCAUCACACAGUUUGGUGAGCUCUUCGGCCUCCUUCUCCUGUUAAAAAGAAAAAUAAAAUACCAGUAAGAUUUUAUACUGACAAGUAAACUUCAGAAUCAAGAUAACAUGACAAAACUAAAAUCAGGUUGGGGGAUCUGGGGUACUAACAUCAAAAAAAUAAUUGUUUUAUGUGACUUUAAUACAUGUAUGAAACCUUUAGGAGAAUUUUGAGAUUAGAAUACAUCAAAAAAACAUCUUGUCUUGAUUAACACCUAAUUUUAAAUAUUUUAACCACAAUGUUUAGCUUGUUUGUCUCUGUGUAGCCCUGUGAUAGACUGUCCAAGGAGUCCCCCACCAUUGCUAUAAAUCAGCUGGGAUAGACUUCAGCACCCUCUGCAACUCUAAUAAGGAUUAAGCGGUAUAUAGAUAAUGGAUGGAUGGAUGUUUAACUAAUUUACAUAAUUUUAUUAGUUUUAAUGUUUCAAGAGAAAUUAAACAGAGGGCCCAUCUUGUUGAAGUCCUAAUAACUUCAUAAAUGUGACAGUCUAAUUCUAUAUUUAUCCAGUUAUCCCCCCCACCCCAAACACAUUAAUUAAAAAAAAAAAAAUCAAACUGUGUAGUAAAAUAAUAAGUAAAUACACUUUUAAUUUCAGGCACGGUUUUCUCACAAGACACUGCAAGGAAAAGUUAUGCGGCUUUGAAUCAUUAAUAAACUAGCAGCUGAGCAAAAUGCAGUUUAUCAGGUCAACAUUCUCAGUCACAUAGAUCUAAUGUUCAAAACCACUGCAAAUGCAUACUAUUUAAUCCAUAUGUUCACUCACCUUCUGGUCCAGGCUCUUCUCCAGUGACUGCACCUUCAGCUGCUCCCGGCGCAGCUGAGCUUGAAGUGCCGAUACCUCGGCUUUGUACUUGGAUCGUACCUCAGCAAUUUCUCCAUUUGCACUGGGGAUGAGAAAUAAAUUACAGUCACUGCAAGUCACCUAAAGCUUUACACAACUUAACAAAAAAACCCCCCAAAACACUGGUGUGUUUCUUACUGGCCAAUUUUCUCCUCAGCGUGAGCUUUGAGGGUCUGGUAGCGCUGCUCCUCCUUUUUGAUCCUCGCCAGGUAGUCCUGUGCACAAGCCUUCAAAGUCUCUUCGUUCUGCGGAAAGAUCACAGGAAAGACCAUUUAAAUCUCCUUUCUGCCUCCUCACAGCCAACCUGCACACCACAAAUUCUUGGUUUCCAUGAACUCGAACCUUUUUGUAGCCCUCAAUAACAUCCUUGUACUUCUCCAGCCUCUUGAAAAGCUCAGAGAAGGAUCUUUCCAUGGCGCUCAGGUCGCUGGACACUUGGUCCUUCUCUAGCAGAGCCUCGUUGAGCUUCGCUUGGGCCACCUCCCUCUCCUUCUCUUGAUCAGCUGAACCAUGCCAGAAAAAUUGAAGAAGGUUUCUUUGGAACACACCAUGAUAUACAUUAUCUUGAUCAGUGUGGCAUAUACAUAAACAUUAACUUACCCAUCAUUUUUGCAAUCACAAGCUCAAAUUCUGCAAUUAUUUUUCUGUGAGGAGGGAAUAAAAAAAGAUGUGAAAUAUCUUGAAACAAUAUUGUUGAAUAAAAUUGAUGAAAACUGAA